UACUCCUACGGGAGGCAGCAGUGGGGAAUAUUGCACAAUGGGGGAAACCCUGAUGCAGCCAUGCCGCGUGUGUGAAGAAGGCCUUCGGGUUGUAAAGCACUUUCAGCGAGGAGGAAAGGUUGGUAGCUAAUAACUGCCAGCUGUGACGUUACUCGCAGAAGAAGCACCGGCUAACUCCGUGCCAGCAGCCGCGGUAAU
rnacentral:rRNA from 1 species